AGCUUUGUAUUCAAAAAUGAUUUUAAAUUGCAAAUUUAAAGGUAAAGUGUUCCUUUUAAGGCUU
rnacentral:tRNA from 1 species